rnacentral:rRNA from 1 species
GAUGAACGCUGGCGGCGUGCCUAAUACAUGCAAGUCGAGCGAACAGACGAGGAGCUUGCUCCUCUGACGUUAGCGGCGGACGGGUGAGUAACACGUGGAUAACCUACCUAUAAGACUGGGAUAACUUCGGGAAACCGGAGCUAAUACCGGAUAAUAUAUUGAACCGCAUGGUUCAAUAGUGAAAGACGGUUUUGCUGUCACUUAUAGAUGGAUCCGCGCCGCAUUAGCUAGUUGGUAAGGUAACGGCUUACCAAGGAAACGAUGCGUAGCCGACCUGAGAGGGUUAUCAGCCACACUGGAACUGAGACACGGUCCAGCCUCCUACGGGAGGCAGCAGUAGGGAAUCUUCCGCAAUGGGCGAAAGCCUGACGGAGCAACGCCGCGUGAGUGAUGAAGGUCUUCGGAUCGUAAAACUCUGUUAUUAGGGAAGAACAAAUGUGUAAGUAACUAUGCACGUCUUGACGGUACCUAAUCAGAAAGCCACGGCUAACUACGUG